rnacentral:tRNA from 1 species
GGGGGCGUCUGACGCGGGGUUACGGAUUACCUACUGGGACGGUCUGCAACACCUCGAUUCCCCGGUUCGAAUCCGGGCGCCGCCUCCA